rnacentral:rRNA from 1 species
GUGCCAGCAGCCGCGGUAAUACGGAGGGUGCGAGCGUUAAUCGGAAUUACUGGGCGUAAAGCGCGCGUAGGCGGUUUGUUAAGUCAGCUGUGAAAGCCCCGGGCUCAACCUGGGAACUGCAGUUGAUACUGGCCGACUAGAGUACGAGAGAGGGAGGUAGAAUUCCAUGUGUAGUGGUGAAAUGCGUAGAUAUAUGGAGGAAUACCAGUGGCGAAGGCGGCCUCCUGGCUCGAUACUGACGCUGAGGUGCGAAAGCGUGGGGAUCAAACAGGAUUAGAUACCCUGGUAGUCCACGCCGUAAACGAUGUCUACUAGCCGUUGGGAGACUUGAUUUCUUAGUGGCGCAGCUAACGCAAUAAGUAGACCGCCUGGGGAGUACGGCCGCAAGGUUAAAACUCAAAUGAAUUGACGGGGGCCCGCACAAGCGGUGGAGCAUGUGGUUUAAUUCGAUGCAACGCGAAGAACCUUACCAGGUCUUGACAUCCAGAGAACUUUCCAGAGAAGGAUUGGUGCCUUCGGGAGCUCUGAGACAGGUGCUGCAUGGCUGCCGUCAGCUCGUGUCGUGAGAUGUUGGGUUAAGUCCCGUAACGAGCGCAACCCUUGUCCUUAGUUGCCAGCACGUAAUGGUGGGAACUCUAAGGAGACUGCCGGUGACAAACCGGAGGAAGGUGGGGACGACGUCAAGUCAUCAUAGCCCUUACGACCUGGGCUACACACGUGCUACAAUGGAACGCACAGAGGGCUGCAAAAGCGCGAGCUGGAGCCAAUCCCACAAAACGUUUCGUAGUCCGGAUCGGAGUCUGCAACUCGACUCCGUGAAGUCGGAAUCGCUAGUAAUCGUGGAUCAGAAUGCCACGGUGAAUACGUUCCCGGGCCUUGUACACACCGCCCG